rnacentral:rRNA from 1 species
GAUGGCCUACGGGGCGCAGCAGUGGGGAAUAUUGGGCAAUGGAGGAAACUCUCACCCAGCAAUGCCGCGUGAAUGAAGAAGGUCUUCGGAUUGUAAAGUUCUUUAAUUGGGGACGAAAAAAAUGACGGUACCCAAGGAAUAAGCCCCGGCUAACUACGUGCCAGCAGCCGCGGUAAUACGUAGGGGGCAAGCGUUGUUCGGAAUGACUGGGCGUAAAGGGUGUGUAGGCGGUGUAGCAAGUUAGAAGUGAAAUACCUAGAGUUUAACUCAGGUGCUGCUUCUAAAACUGCUAUACU